UUAAUGCCCCAUGGUAUCGGGCCACUGCAUGGUGGCCUGAUUAAAGAUUUAUCGGACAGGGAUGGCCAUGCGUACCAUUAGCUUGUUGGUGGGGUAACGGCCCACCAAGGCAACGAUGGUUAGGGGCCCUGAGAGGGGGAUCCCCCACACUGGUACUGAGACACGGACCAGACUCCUACGGGAGGCAGCAGUGAGGAAUAUUGGACAAUGGUCGGGAGACUGAUCCAGCCAUGCCGCGUGCAGGAUGACGGCCCUAUGGUUGUAAACUGCUUUUAUACGGGAAGAAACCUGUCCACGUGUGGGCAGCUGACGGUACCGUAAGAAUAAGGACCGGCUAACUCCGUGCCAGCAGCCGCGGUAAUACGGAGGGUCCGAGCGUUAUCCGGAAUCAUUGGGUUUAAAGGGUCCGUAGCGGAUUUGUAAGUCAGUGGUGAAAGUUUGCGGCUCAACCGUAAAAUUGCCAUUGAUACUGCAAGUCUUGAAUCAUUGUGAAGUGGUUAGAAUAUGUAGUGUAGCGGUGAAAUGCAUAGAUAUUACAUAGAAUACCGAUUGCGAAGCAGAUCACUAACAAUGUAUUGACGCUAAGGGACGAAAGCGUGGGUAGCGAACAGGAUUAGAUACCCUGGUAGUCCACGCCG
rnacentral:rRNA from 1 species